AUGUGGUUCUUCGACUGGAUUGACUUUGGCGCAAAUAAUGUCGAGCCGCACAUUGUCCCCCGCAUCAGUGUUUACACGGGACAGAUAUGCAGGAGGCUAAUCUACCUGAUAAGGGGGUACCCAAAUAUAUUCACUACAAAGCCUUAUGAUGCAUUCAACCCGCUUGAUGAUGUUUGGCACGGUGUAGUCGGAGAGCCUGGUGGAUUCCUACAACAGCCAGAACAAUUAGGUGCACUCCGAUCAGCUCUGGUUCUCAUUUCUGCCAGCCAGCAAGAUGCCAUGGUGUCUGACCAAGUGCAAAGGGGAGAUGGGCCAGCAUAUGACUCCAGACGAGUUGCUGCCGUCCAGCAGGACGACAUGUUGUCUGGCCAAGGGCAAGUGGGACAGAAGGCAGCAUAUGACUACCAAAGCGUUGCUAAUCAUAGCAAGCUCUCCGCUGCAAAAGGGAAGUGGGCAACGGAUGAUAGCUCGGACUCAUCGAGCAGCGAUAGUGACGACGAACCGGUCGAUCCAAGUGUUCGUCUUGCUAGGAGAUUGGAAGAAGCUGAUAGGAGAGGUGAACGCAUAGAACCACGGGAUGACCGCGGGGACACAAGGAUUAAUGAUGUUGUGUGGAGUGCCCGUGUGACAGGCAUGUGCUUGCGCGACGAAUGA
rnacentral:rRNA from 1 species